UUAGUUAAAGCCAAAAAGAGGCAUACCACUGUUAAUGGUAGAAAUGAAUUUAUUAUUCUAACUAAG
rnacentral:tRNA from 1 species